rnacentral:lncRNA from 1 species
GACGCAGCAAGGGAGGGAGCAGGAGAGACAGGACGGAGGGGUCUGGGAUGGGGGCUGGGCAGUGCAGUCCCUGGCAGGCCUCACCCAGCUGCCCAGCCCCUUACCUUCUUCUUCUCACUAGAGGAGGGCUCGCUCCCUGAGCAGCGGCCUGACUCCACCCCGCCGGCCCCCUUCACCCGGGUGGAGGAUUUGGCCAGGCUGCUCUCUACCAGUUCAUCAUCGAAUUUCUUCCUUUUGAUGAACCUGUGGAAGGUCCUGCAGGGUUAACUACUGGUACCACACCCACGCACGGCUUCCAAGGUGCAGGCUCCCCUUGGGAACUAACUGCCUUCACUUUCCAGCAGUGUCUGGCUCAGUGGACAUGGAAAAGCCAAGUUCUAGUCCUCUGAGGUAACAGGCAACCUUUCAACAGAGAUGGAACCCCUCACUCUCCAUCCUCGGUGCCAUCCGGACACACCGGCAGAGGAGUCCCAAAGCCUCCGGCUCCAAACCACAGGGCUAGGAGGAAGGGUCCCACAGGCUCAUCCAAGGGUUCUGACCAAGCGAGCUUGGAUGCUGAGAAGAGAGUCUGGGAAGGAGAGCUUUUACUAAAGCGGGUGGUUCCUUCGGACGAUUCAAACGUGGUUUGGGAACUGUAUGAAUACCCAGCGCUUUGGCAGCCCCGCCCCUCCUGACUCCGGCGUCUCGUAGAGCAAAGUUCUGGCUCUGCCUUUAAGGACGCUCCACGACCAGCUCCGUCUACUCAGAACACUAGGAGACGAGUCGCGGGGUCUCACCAUUCCUAGGCUGCCAGCUCCAACAAUUUCUCCGCGGCGACGGCAGGAGCCGCAGGGCCAAAGCCGGCUUCCGUGAGACACAUCUACUUCCGGGUUGCGAACGAAGGGUUGGACGAUCUCUUCCGGUUCGUCCUGGACCCGUUUUUGGCCGCUUGACCCAAGGUAGAGUUAUUUGGGGAGAAGCUCAACUGAGAAAGUGCCUCCAUCAGAGUGGCCUUGGGCAGUUUCUGCCUCCAGGUUCCUGCUUUGAGUUCCUGCCCGACUUCCCCUGAGGAUGGACCUGCGAUCCAAAUAAAU